AUCCAGCUGACGAGUCCCGAAUAGGACGAAACGUGCGCCCUGGAU
rnacentral:hammerhead_ribozyme from 1 species